CAGAAUUUUACUUUAAAAAUAUGGCAAUUUUUUAUUGACGGUCAAAGUAAUUAGCAACAAUGGUCAUAUUUUAUUACCUGACUUUAAAGAAGGGUUAUUUUUUUAUAACAUGCACAUGUAAAAUGCUAGUACUUAUCGUUCAUUAUCAUCUAACACGUGAACGAUAACCUUGGUCGCCCUGGAUCUUCAGUCAUGGCCCUUUUAUCCUUUUUAGAUCUUAAAUGAACUCUAAUGUCAAAAUGUAUCUUUAAAAUGCUAGUAAGUCUGGAUGCAUGUAGUAAAUAAUGUAAAUACUUCGACUUAUAUACGCAAAGCGAUGUUUAUAUUUGUGAUUUCAUUUUUAUACCUAGUACGAGAGAAAUCUCCACUUGUUUCGAAAUCCCAUCAUCUAGAGAACGAAUAAGCAAAUGUAAGUAUGUGUUGUCAAAUUUGAAGCCUUAACGAGUUUCCGUAUCACACUAAAGACAAAGCAAAACGUUGCCUUGUAAGAAUUUUCCGACGGAGGACUUCCCGGAAAACAAAGAUUUCAAACUGUGCCCUAGAAGCCACGCGUACCAAUCCUAUUUUGUUUAAAAUUCACCCAUUUUCUUAUUUACGUCUUACUUAAUCGAAUUAUAAUAUAAUAAUCGAUAUGCUUUGUGACUGAAUACAUAGCUAUAAAAAGAAAAUAAAGCAGGCCAGGCGGCCAUGAUAUGAAACGACUCAGGUAAGUACAAGGUAUUUUACAUUCAGCCACUUAUGUCAGUCAUUGGAAUAACAACUUUGUACGAUUUUUCCUAGUUCUCUAUAGAAGUUAUUUGAAUUAAGUACCUACGCAAGGAACUGUUAUAUAAAUCAAUACAGUGGAUUGAUUAUCAAUUAAUUAUUCAUUGGGGUAGGUCUUAGAGCACAAAGAAAUCAACAGAUAAUUAAGCAUAGAUAUCAUACAGGCGUCUUUGUAAUUAACAGCUAGCUUUUCUUUUUACUGUAAACUGAGUCCCAAUUCUGCUGUUAACAAUGGUCGUUGAAUGAAUGAAAAUUGGAUUAAAUUUGACACUUCUAAUAUUCUCUUAGCAUUUAGCCAACUCAAUGAUUGGAAAGUAAUUGUCAUUGGCACCGGGAAAAAGAGGUAAGUAAUAUAUUAAGUGAAAAUUAAUAUGGUUUUUUAUUUUAUUUUAUGAAUAGGUAUAUAAUAUUGGGUAAUAAUUGUCUUCUAAAUAGAGGAGGAAAUUAGUUGACCGCUGUUCGAUUACGAUGCCUACGUCCGCAGUAAUCAAUCUUGGAUUCAACGAAGAACGUCGAGAUUGCCGCCAUAAUCCGUGUUACCAUACGUAAUAUUGGAAGCAAUAUCUAUCCUUAUAGUAUAAAUUAAUUCCGUGAACAUUAUCAGUUUUACAAAAUAUUAAGUAACUAGGUACAUAUAAUGUAUUUAAAGAUAAUUUAUCGUGUAGCUCUCAAGUACGCUGCUGACUUUGUAUACCUAAUCUUGAACCGAUUUAGACAGAAAUCUUAUCAAGUGUAAUUAAAUACUUAUCAUUAAUAAUACCUCCCUAUCUUACUUGCCUUCAAACAGCAUUUGAGAGAUGUUUUUUAUUUACUAAACAGGCUGGAUAAUUUUACUUAGUAAUAAUUUUAGUAAAUGGGGCACAAUGGUUUCAGCUAAAUACUUAUUUCCUGGUUAUAAUAACGCCUAAUAGAAUUAUGAAAACUUCUCCAAGUCAUAAGAAGACACAACAAUCCGACGUCUACUUCGCAAGCUUGUUUUACUAGUUAUCCGAUGUCUUUUAACGAAUAAAAAUAGCUAGAUGCAGACUUUAUUUAAUCGACUUGAUGACAUAAACUCAACAUUACAGAUCGAUGAACCCAGUGGAUCCUGUGGGCUUUAUAGAAACUCGUUUUGUCUACCAGAUGUAGAUGAGCGCUUCAUAAAACUGUCAAAUAUGUAUCAAAUUAAAGAAUUAAAAGAACUCAGAAUUGGA